rnacentral:rRNA from 1 species
AUUGAACGCUGGCGGCAGGCCUAACACAUGCAAGUCGAGCGGCAGCAGGGUGCUUGCUCGCUCUUUCAGCGGCCGACGGGCGAGUAGGGCCUAGGAAUCUCGCUGGUUGUUUGGGCUAGCGUCCUGACGCAGGGGCUCAUACCCCAUACCUCCUUAGGGCCAACGUGGGGGAGCUUCGGACCUUACGCUCUCAGAUGAGCCUAUGUCGGAUUAGCUAGUUGGUGGGGUAAAGGCCUACCAAGGCGACGAUCCGUAGCUGGUCUGAGAGGAUGAUCAGCCACACUGGAACUGAGACACGGUCCAGACUCCUACGGGAGGCAGCAGUGGGGAAUAUUGGACAAUGGGCGCAAGCCUGAUCCAGCCAUGCCGCGUGGGUGAAGAAGGCCUUCGGAUUGUAAAGCACUUUUAUUGGGAAAGAAAAGCAGUAAGUUAAUACCUCGCUGUUUUGACGGUACCAAAAGAAUAAGCACCGGCUAACUUCGUG